UCUUUAUAUAAUUUUUUUUAGUUUAAUUGAUGAUUUUUUAUUUAAUUAUAAAAAUUUAUAUUUUAUUGGGGUAAUAAAAAGAUUUGAUUAAUUCUUUUUUAUAUUACAUGAAUUAAUGAAUAAUUGAUCCGUUAUUAUUGAUUAUAAGAUUAAGU
rnacentral:rRNA from 1 species